rnacentral:rRNA from 1 species
UACGGGGGGAGCGAACGUUGUUCGGAAUCACUGGGCGUAAAGGGCGCGUAGGCGGCCUUGUAAGUGGGAUGUGAAAGCCCCCGGCUCAACCGGGGAACUGCGUUUCAUACUGCGAGGCUUGAGUGCAGGAGAGGAUGGGGGAAUUCCCGGUGUAGCGGUGAAAUGCAUUGAUAUCGGGAGGAACACCAGUGGCGAAGGCGCCCAUCUGGCCUGCUACUGACGCUCAGGCGCGAAAGCUGGGGGAGCAAAC